AGAGUUUGAUCAUGGCUCAGGAUGAACGCUAGCUACAGGCUUAACACAUGCAAGUCGAGGGGCAGCAUGAUUGAAGCUUGCUUCAAUUGAUGGCGACCGGCGCACGGGUGAGUAACGCGUAUCCAACCUUCCGUACACUCAGGGAUAGCCUUUCGAAAGAAAGAUUAAUACCUGAUGGUAUGAUGAGAUUGCAUGAUAGCAUCAUUAAAGAUUUAUCGGUGUACGAUGGGGAUGCGUUCCAUUAGGUAGUAGGCGGGGUAACGGCCCACCUAGCCUACGAUGGAUAGGGGUUCUGAGAGGAAGGUCCCCCACAUUGGAACUGAGACACGGUCCAAACUCCUACGGGAGCA
rnacentral:rRNA from 1 species